CAAGGGGUAACUGAGUGGCGAACGGGUGAGUAACACGUGGGUGACCUACCUUCGAAUGGGGGAUAACGUCCCGAAAGGGACGCUAAUACCGCAUAACAUCCCGUCCUUGAACGGAUGGAGAUCAAAGCUGGGGAUCGUAAGACCUGGCGUUUGAAGAGGGGCCCGCGUCCGAUUAGCUAGUUGGUGAGGUAACGGCUCACCAAGGCGACGAUCGGUAACCGGCCUGAGAGGGCGGACGGUCACACUGGGACUGAGACACGGCCCAGACUCCCACGGGAGGCAGCAGUGGGGAAUUGUUCACAAUGGGCGCAAGCCUGAUGACGCAACGCCGCGUGGAGGAUGAAGGUCUUCGGAUUGUAAACUCCUGUUGCCCGGGACGAAAUGCUUUGACCUAACACGUCAAAGUUUGACGGUACCGGGUGAGGAAGCCCCGGCUAACUCUGUGCCAGCAGCCGCGGUAAUACAGAGGGGGCAAGCGUUGUUCGGAAUUACUGGGCGUAAAGGGCGCGUAGGUGGCCUUCUAAGUUGAACGUGAAAUCCCUGGGCUCAACCCAGGAACUGCGUCCAAGACUGGGAGGCUUGAAUCCGGGAGAGGGAUGCGGAAUUCCAGGUGUAGCGGUGAAAUGCGUAGAUAUCUGGAGGAACACCGGGUGGCGAAGGCGGCAUCCUGGACCGGGAUUGACACUGAGGCGCGAAAGCCAGGGGAGCAAACGGGAUUAGAUACCCCGGUAGUCCUGGCCCUAAACGAUGAAUGCUUGGUGUGGCGGGUAUCGAUCCCUGCCGUGCCGAAGCUAACGCAUUAAGCAUUCCGCCUGGGGAGUACGGUCGCAAGGCUGAAACUC
rnacentral:rRNA from 1 species